GACCUCAAAUCAGGUAGGACUACCCGCUGAACUUAAGCAUAUCAAUAAGCGGAGGAAAAGAAACUAACAAGGAUUCCCCUAGUAACUGCGAGUGAAGCGGGAAGAGCUCAAAUUUUAAAUCUGGCAGUCCUU
rnacentral:rRNA from 1 species